rnacentral:misc_RNA from 1 species
AACGCAAGUUGCGCUCCCAUUUGCGUGGGAGCAUGCCUCUUUGAGUGUCGGUUUCCACUCGCCUCUGUGGCUUUCUUGUAACUAAGAGAGCGCGCAGGAUACUGGGCGUCGCCACCUCACACGGUGGCGUUGCCUGAAGAGCCGCGACGUGAACCCCUGGACGCGAGUCACCAAAACCGAGGGCGUGGGUAGGUGCGGUUUCGCACACAACACGCGUCUCCUGGUUCGGGUGACCUACCAUCGCGUUCCUCGGCCACGUGCGCCGGCGCCGCCCCACCAAAGGCGGUCUGCCGGCCGCAGCGUCCCCCGCGAAUCCGCGGGGACGCCGCGAAAACCACCUCACUCGACCUCAAAUGAGGCAAGAAGACCCGCCGAAUUUAA